rnacentral:rRNA from 1 species
CCUACGGGAGGCUGCAGUGGGGAAUAUUGGACAAUGGGGGAAAGCCUGAUGCAGCGACGCCGCGUGAGUGAUGAAGUAUUUCGGUAUGUAAAGCUCUAUCAGCAGGGAAGAAAUAGCGACCUUUGGGUCGCCAGACGGUACCUGUCUAAGAAGCACCGGCUCACUACGUGCCAGCAGCCGCGGUAAUACGUAGGGGGCAAGCGUUAUCCGGAUUUACUGGGUGUAAAGGGAGCGUAGAGGGCAGCACAAGGCUGAAGGGAAAUGCCGGGGCUUAACCCCGGAACUGCUUUGGAAACUGUGCAGCUAGAGUGCAGGAGAGGUAAGUGGAAUUCCUGGUGUAGCGGUGAAAUGCGUAGAUAUUAGGAGGAACACCAGUGGCGAAGGCGGCUUACUGGACUGUAACUGACGUUGAGGCUCGAAAGCGUGGGGAGCAAACAGGAUUAGAUACCCCUGUAGUC